GCGGCCUUCCUCUUAGUACCUAUCAUUUUUCCCUACCACAGAUAAGCAACAUAGUCACAUCAUGACUGCAGGCUUGAUAAACUGAAGAAUCAAAUGGAGUAAGCCUCCAAGUUUGGUCAUAUUGGAUCAGUGGGGUCCAAAAGUGAACAAACAGAAGAGAGACAAAGUCAAAUGAGAAAAAAUUUGCAAGAAAUGUGCCCCACAUCAGGAGACAGAGUGAUGAACUACAUCUUCUACUACAACCCUUGGGUACACAGAGGCAACAUGCUCCACAAACCAUUUACAGCAUCUGAACUCCUUCCUCGAAACUAGAGUGUUCUCCAUGACUAUGUGGACACUGAUCUGAUUGUACUACUGUCCUGUCUGAAUUCUUACUUUUUCUUGUUAUGACCUUACCUUUGUGGAGUGACAUAGAUCCUGGUCUCAGUGUAUCUCCUUUUUGUUCUGAACACAGGACUAUCAACAGCAUGGAAAGUAAGAAAAAGUCUGCAGCCAGCUGCAAAUGCCCAUGGACUCCAUUUUCCAUGGUUUCUUCCAGACCUUUAAUAAUAUUAAAGUCAGAGAAAUAAACAUGGUUCUUAUCGUUCUGUUC